UAGGGAAUCUUCGGCAAUGGGGGGAACCCUGACCGAGCAACGCCGCGUGAACGAAGAAGGUAUUCGUAUCGUAAAGUUCUGUCCUAUGGGAAGAUAAUGACAGUACCAUAGAAGAAAGCUCCGGCUAAAUACGUGCCAGCAGCCGCGGUAAUACGUAUGGAGCGAGCGUUGUCCGGAAUUAUUGGGCGUAAAGGGUACGCAGGCGGUUUAAUAAGUCGAAUGUUAAAGAUCGGGGCUCAACCCCGUAAAGCAUUGGAAACUGAUAAACUUGAGUAGUGGAGAGGAAAGUGGAAUUCCUAGUGUAGUGGUGAAAUACGUAGAUAUUAGGAGGAAUACCAGUAGCGAAGGCGACUUUCUGGACACAAACUGACGCUGAGGUACGAAAGCGUGGGGAGCAAACAGG
rnacentral:rRNA from 1 species